AUUUUAUAAAUCUUAUUAAUAUAUUUUAACGUAUAGUUAAUUAUAUUUAAAUAGAAUUAACGAAUUUUAGAAAUAAAAAUGUAAUUAACGUAAUUUAUUUUUAUACGUUCUAAAUAUUUCAACGAUUUAUGAAAUCAAAAGUAAUUUUAGAAUUUUACAUUGAAAAGAAAUCGAAUUACGAAAACCGAUUGAAUUUAGAAAACGAUCCUAAUUGAUUUUGGAUUGAAAUCCUAAAACUAAAUCCUAAUUCUAAGCCCACUUGGCAAAGCCCAAACAAAUAAUCCCACCACUCUCUUUACUUGCUCCAACUUCACGUAAAAACAAAAACAAGAAAUCAAACCUUUCUCUCUUCCCCUUUUACUUCACGUGAACCAGAAAAAUAAAACAAAAUUUCAAACCCUGCUUCAACUUCACGUGGACUCUCAUUGCACCGCCGCACAAACCACCGCCGUCAACCACGACGCUGCUCCUCCUCAAUCCGACGGUCGCCACCACCGAGCCGCUGCCACCAUCGACCCGCACAACCAACGCACACCACCAGCCGCGUCGUUGCACUAGCCGCCGCAGUCUCCCGGUCAGGUUGUCCCUCCUUUCUCCUCCUCUCUUCUGUGCUUCUUGCUCAAUCACGCAACCACCGAGUGCGACCUCCACAGUCACCACCUCCAACGGCGUCUCCCGUUCGACCACCAAACGCAACCACCUUCACUCUGCGCCCAGCCGCCGCUGCCGCGCCUCCCUUGCCGCCGGCCAGCAUCCCCUUGAAGCUUUAAUUGGCGGAGCAUUCUUUGUAGGCGACUUUUGAAAGUGUUAAAGUGGCCUACUAGUUGUUUAUACAAG